rnacentral:rRNA from 1 species
UGCAAGUCGAGCGAACUGAUUAGAAGCUUGCUUCUAUGACGUUAGCGGCGGACGGGUGAGUAACACGUGGGCAACCUGCCUGUAAGACUGGGAUAACUUCGGGAAACCGAAGCUAAUACCGGAUAGGAUCUUCUCCUUCAUGGGAGAUGAUUGAAAGAUGGUUUCGGCUAUCACUUACAGAUGGGCCCGCGGUGCAUUAGCUAGUUGGUGAGGUAACGGCUCACCAAGGCAACGAUGCAUAGCCGACCUGAGAGGGUGAUCGGCCACACUGGGACUGAGACACGGCCCAGACUCCUACGGGAGGCAGCAGUAGGGAAUCUUCCGCAAUGGACGAAAGUCUGACGGAGCAACGCCGCGUGAGUGAUGAAGGCUUUCGGGUCGUAAAACUCUGUUGUUAGGGAAGAACAAGUACGAGAGUAACUGCUUGUACCUUGACGGUACCUAACCAGAAAGCCACGGCUAACUACGUGGCAGCAGCCGCGGUAAUACGUACGUGGCAAGCGUUAUCCGGAAUUAUUGGGCGUAAAGCGCGCGCAGGC